rnacentral:rRNA from 1 species
AGAGUUUGAUCCUGGCUCAGGACGAACGCUGGCGGCGUGCCUAAAACAUGCAAGUCGAACGAGAUAGCAAUAUCUAGUGGCGAACGGCGGAGUAAUACAUAAGCAACGUGCCCUGAAGACUGGGAUAGCGGACCGAAAGGUCCAGUAAUACCGGAUGUGGCCCUCACGAGACAUCUCGAGAGGAUUAAAUGGUUUUUCGCUUCAGGAGCGGCUUAUGACCUAUCAGCUUGUUGGCGAGGUAAUGGCUCACCAAGGCGACGACGGGUAGGGGGUCUGAGAGGAUGAUCCCCCCGAGUGGGACUGAGACACGGCCCACACACCUACGGGUGGCAGCAGUUGGGAAUCUUGCACAAUGGGGGAAACCCUGAUGCAGCGACGCCGCGUGGAGGAUGACGGAUCUAGGUCUGUAAACUCCUUUUUCAUGGAAAGACUUAGGACGGUACCAUGAGAAUAAGGACCGGCUAACUACGUGCCAGCAGCCGCGGUAAGACGUAGGGUCCAAGCGUUGUCCGGAUUUACUGGGCGUAAAGAGCGCGUAGGCGGCUCGUUAAGUGUGGUGUGAAAGCCCUGGGCUCAACCCAGGAAGUGCAUUGGAAACUGGCGAACUUGAGUACGGGAGAGGGAAGUGGAAUUCCGAGUGUAGGGGUGAAAUCCGUAGAUAUUCGGAGGAACACCAGUGGCGAAGGCGGCUUCCUGGACCGAUACUGACGCUGAGACGCGAAAGCGUGGGGAGCAAACAGGAUUAGAUACCCUGGUAGUCC